UGCCAGCAGCCGCGGUAAUACGGAGGGGGGUAGCGUUGUUCGGAAUUACUGGGCGUAAAGCGCACGUAGGCGGAUUAGUAAGUUAGGGGUGAAAUCCCGGGGCUCAACCCCGGAACUGCCUCUAAUACUGCUAGUCUUGAGUUCGGGAGAGGUGAGUGGAAUUCCUAGUGUAGAGGUGAAAUUCGUAGAUAUUAGGAAGAACACCAGUGGCGAAGGCGGCUCACUGGCCCGGUACUGACGCUGAGGUGCGAAAGCGUGGGGAGCAAACAGGAUUAGAUA
rnacentral:rRNA from 1 species